rnacentral:rRNA from 1 species
GUCCACGCCCUAAACGAUGUCAACUGGUUGUUGGGGGUUUGACACUCUCAGUAACGAAGCUAACGCGUGAAGUUGACCGCCUGGGGAGUACGGCCGCAAGGUUAAAACUCAAAGGAAUUGACGGGGACCCGCACAAGCGGUGGAUUAUGUGGAUUAAUUCGAUGCAACGCGAAAAACCUUACCUACCCUUGACAUGUCCUGGAGGCCCCUGAGAGGGGGCUGUGCCCGAAAGGGAACGGGAACACAGGUGCUGCAUGGCUGUCGU